UACGUAGGGGGCUAGCGUUGUCCGGAAUCAUUGGGCGUAAAGCGCGCGUAGGCGGCCCGGUAAGUCCGCUGUGAAAGUCAAAGGCUCAACCUUUGAAUGUCAGCGGAUACUGCCAGGCUAGAGUCCGGAAGAGGCGAGUGGAACUCCUGGUGUAGCGGUGGAAUGCGCAGAUAUCAGGAAGAACACCAACGGCGAAGGCAGCUCGCUGGGACGGAACUGACGCUGAGGCGCGAAAGCGUGGGGAGCGAACGGG
rnacentral:rRNA from 1 species